GUGGGGAAUCUUGCGCAAUGGGGGGAACCCUGACGCAGCGACGCCGCGUGCGGGAUGGAGGCCUUCGGGUCGUGAACCGCUUUCAGCAGGGACGAGACUGACGGUACCUGCAGAAGAAGCCCCGGCUAACUACGUGCCAGCAGCCGCGGUAAUACGUAGGGGGCGAGCGUUAUCCGGAUUCAUUGGGCGUAAAGCGCGCGUAGGCGGCCGCGCAGGCGGGGGGUCAAAUCCCGGGGCUCAACCCCGGGCCGCCCCCCGAACCGCGCGGCUUGGGUCCGGCAGGGGAGGGUGGAACGCCCGGUGUAGCGGUGGAAUGCGCAGAUAUCGGGCGGAACACCGGUGGCGAAGGCGGCCCUCUGGGCCGGCACCGACGCUGAGGCGCGAGAGCUAGGGGAGCGAACAGGAUUAGAAACCCUAGUAGUCC
rnacentral:rRNA from 1 species